rnacentral:snoRNA from 1 species
ACCCCAGUCGUUUUGUCAGGAAGCCUUUCGCACAACCGUUGCCCCCAAUGGAAGGCUCUCCGUUACACGCUGGGAAAAUCAAGGAGCGUCUCGAUGUCUUGGUCUUCGGAUCUUGGCUGAUGGGGUCCGUUUUGGAUCUCCCAUCAUGAGACGCAAUUGCAUCACUUUUGAGUUGAAGUCUGCCAGCGCUCCUCCGAGCCUCCACAUGGCGGUAUUUCUUAGUAGCGAAGCAUACAUGC